rnacentral:rRNA from 1 species
GGUCCUAUGGGUAAAUGAUAUAGGAUUUAGCCUGCCCAAUGAAAAAUUUGAAUGGCCGCGGUAUAUUGACCGUGCAAAGGUAGCAUAAUAAUUAGUCCUUUAAUUGGGGUCUGGAAUGAAUGGUUGGACGAGAAAAAGACUGUCUAGGGUAGUCAUUAAUCUGAAUUUUAUUUUUAAGUGAAAAAGCUUAAAUUAUCUUGGGGGACGAUAAGACCCUAUAGAUCUUUAUAUUUUAUACUAGGGAAAAGAGCAGAAUUGUAUAAGGAGUAGUUUAAGGUAUUUUGUUGGGGUGAUUGGGAGAUAUAAUAAACUCUCUUAAAAAGGUGUUUUUUGCAUAUCAGCAUUUAUUAGUGAUCCGUUAAUAUACGAUAAUUGGAUUAAGUUACCUUAGGGAUAACAGCGUAAUUUUUCUUGAGAGUUCAUAUCGACAGGAAAGUUUGCGACCUCGAUGUUGGAUUAAGGAUUUCUUGAUGGUGGAGAAGCUAUUAGAGGAGGGUCUGUUCGACCUUUAAUUCCUUACA